UUCCCAAAAACAUAAAGUUUUGGUCCUAAACUUGCCAUUGUUUUUUAUCAAAAUUAUACAUGCAAGCCUCCACAAGCCAGUGAGAAUGCCCACAUACCCUAAACAGCCAACCGGAGCAGGCAUCAGGAUACAAUAAAUAUUUAGCCAAAGACGCCUUGCGCACGCCACACCCACACGGGACUUCAGCAGUAAUUAACCUUAAAAAUGAGCGAAAGCUCGAUUUAGUUAUGAUAAAUAUGGCCGGUAAAUUUCGUGCCAGCCACCGCGGUUAUACGAAAGGCCAAAAACAACAGCCGGCGGCGUAAAGCGUGACUAGAGAUAGCUAUCAAAUUAAAGGGGCACAACCGCCAAGUCGUAAAACACUACUGCACGUUAGAACUACAACUAAUACCUUUAAACACCUACUUUACCUCACGAAAACUAAGAAACAAACUGGGAUUAGAUACCCCACUAUGCUUAGCCCUAAACAUAGAUAGUAUAAACACAAACUAUCCGCCAGAGAACUACAAGCGAAAAGCUCGAAACUCCAAGGACUUGGCGGUGCUUCAAAUCAACCUAGAGGAGCCUGUCCUAUAAUCGAUACCCCGCGUUUUACCUUACCACUUUUAGCCAAUCAGCCUAUAUACCGCCGUCGUCAGCCUACCUUAUGAAAGAAAUAAAGUGAGCAAAAAAGUUAAUAACUAAUACGUCAGGUCAAGGUGUAGCACACGAAGUGGCAGAGAUGGGCUACAUUCUUUCAAAGAAAAAACACAAAUAGUAAACUGAAACACAUACUUGAAGGCGGAUUUAGUAGUAAGACAAGAAAUAAUACUUGUCUAAAACCUGCUCUGAAGCGCGCACACACCGCCCGUCACCCUCGUCACACGCUACACUACACAAAAAUAUUUCACUA
rnacentral:ncRNA from 1 species